rnacentral:rRNA from 1 species
UACGUAGGGGGCAAGCGUUGUCCGGAAUCAUUGGGCGUAAAGAGCGUGUAGGCGGCCCGAUAAGUCCGCUGUGAAAGUCCAGGGCUCAACCCUGGGAUGCCGGUGGAUACUGUCGGACUAGAGUCCGGAAGAGGCGAGUGGAAUUCCCGGUGUAGCGGUGAAAUGCGCAGAUAUCAGGAGGAACACCGGUGGCGAAGGCGGGUCUCUGGGCCGAUACUGACGCUGAGGAGCGAAAGCGUGGGGAGCGAACAGG